rnacentral:rRNA from 1 species
AUUGAACGCUGGCGGCAUGCCUUACACAUGCAAGUCGAACGGCAGCACGGGAGCAAUCCUGGUGGCGAGUGGCGAACGGGUGAGUAAUAUAUCGGAACGUGCCCAGUCGGGGGGGAUAACGUAGCGAAAGCUACGCUAAUACCGCAUACGAUCUACGGAUGAAAGCGGGGGAUCGAAAGACCUCGCGCGAUUGGACCGGCCGAUAUCAGAUUAGGUAGUUGGUGGGGUAAAGGCUCACCAAGCCGACGAUCUGUAGCUGGUCUGAGAGGACGACCAGCCACACUGGGACUGAGACACGGCCCAGACUCCUACGGGAGGCAGCAGUGGGGAAUUUUGGACAAUGGGCGCAAGCCUGAUCCAGCAAUGCCGCGUGCAGGAUGAAGGCCUUCGGGUUGUAAACUGCUUUUGUACGGAACGAAACGGCGAGCUCUAAUACAGUUUGCUAAUGACGGUACCGUAAGAAUAAGCACCGGCUAACUACGUGCCAGCCGCCGCGGUAAAAC